rnacentral:rRNA from 1 species
CCUACGGGAUGCAGCAGUGGGGAAUAUUGCACAAUGGGGGAAACCCUGAUGCAGCGACGCCGCGUGAAGGAAGAAGUAUUUCGGUAUGUAAACUUCUAUCAGCAGGGAAGAGAAUGACGGUACCUGACUAAGAAGCCCCGGCUAACUACGUGCCAGCAGCCGCGGUAAUACGUAGGGGGCAAGCGUUACCCGGAUUUACUGGGUGUAAAGGGAGCGUUGGCGGUGCAGCAAGUCAGAAGUGAAAGCCCGGGGCUCAACUCCGGGACUGCUUUUGAAACUGUUGAACUAGAUUGCAGGAGAGGUAAGUGGAAUUCCUAGUGUAGCGGUGAAAUGCGUAGAUAUUAGGAGGAACACCGGUGGCGAAGGCGGCUUGCUGGACGGUAACUGACGUUGAGGCUCGAAAGCGUGGGGAGCAAACAGGAUUAGAUACCCUUGUAGUC